AUUGAACGCUGGCGGCAGGCCUAACACAUGCAAGUCGAACGAGUGGCGGACGGGUGAGUAAUGUCUGGGAAACUGCCUGAUGGAGGGGGAUAAAUCCUGGAAACGGUAGCUAAUACCGCAUACCAUCAGAUGUGCCCAGAUGGGCUUAGCUUGGUGGUGGGGUAACGGCUCACCAAGGCGACGAGCACUUGCUGGUCUGAGAGGAUGACCAGCCACACUGGAACUGAGACACGGUCCAGAAUCCUACGUGAGGCAUCAGUGGGGAAUAUUGCACAAUGGUCGCAAGCCUGAUGCAGCCAUGCCGCGUGUAUGAAGAAGGCCUUCGGGUUGUAAAGUACUUUCAGCGGGGAGGCGUUACCCGCAGAAGAAGCACCGGCUAACUCCGUGCCAGACGCCGCGGUAAUUC
rnacentral:rRNA from 1 species